AUAUAUCGUGUAAGAGCUUUGAAGGAUGAAUAAAUUAUUGUAUUAUCUUUAAAUUAACCUAUGUUUUUCUUGUCAACGAAGAGGAUUUAGAGCAACAAUUGUUAUCUAAAAGUGCCAAAAUACAGAAUUGUCCUGGUGAACCUGGUGAAAUUAAUACUGAGUUAUUUGAGAUGCCGUUGUGUUUGUUUAUCUCCCUUAGAGUCCUUAGAGUUGCAAUAUAAAUAUAUUUUUUUUAAUUCACCCUAAAAGGUUUUUAUUAUUGAGAUUGACUAGAUUAUAGUGGAAGGCGACGUAAAGGCAAAACAUAUUUGUCGUAAGCUACACGAAGGGAAUACACAUACGAACAGAAUAGGGCUAUGCAGGCUUAAAUUUUGCAUGAUCAGUGUGACCCUAUCUAUUGCUCGAGGCGUCGUAAUAUAUAACAGGGGCCGAUUGAAGCAAGUAUUGGGCUUCAGUGUGGUGUACCAAUUUUUUUUAAUUGAAGGCGACAAUGAAUAAAAAGAUCACUGUCAAACGAGACUAGUCUACUUUUGAGCCUUUUAUCAUUACAGUGUUUUUUUUUACAAAGAAAUAACAAUCGGGUUUUGCUAGAUUUGCGAUUAACGUGGCGGCCCGGGCCAUUCAGUUCAAUGGGCAAUUGUCUGCGCUAGCUACAGUGUGCGUGGUACAGGCACAGUUGACAUAUGGAUGGGAUCUCCCACGUAGAAAGAGCGAGUAUUUCUGAGGGGAAGCAAUGCAAAGUUGAUGGUUGCUGACUGUAAGCAUUAGUAUCAAAUUUAGCUAGUGACAGAUCUAGUGGUUAUAAACGAUUCUAUCGCGAUUGUUUAGAAAGGGUGUCGUGCUGAGCUAAUAGCAGAAAUGGUGAUUCAAUACGGUGAACCAUAGCUCUUAUCAAAUGACAACUUUACUUGAUAAUUGUUCUUUGUUCUGACAAAUCGUUUUGAGCGGUCUACGUAUAGGCCGUUGUUUAUCGACUUUCGGCUCAGACUAGUUUCGAUUAACCAUACCGUUGGAUACAUACGUUUACGAUGAACAGAGAUUACCUACAAUUGAAACAAUUAUUCCUUUAAAAAUAGAAAGUUCCAUAGAUUAUUUUUCUAUCGUCUCGUCGUUCACCGUUACCAAGCGGAGUGGCCGUCUAUCUCCGAGUAAUAAUUCAAACGCUAAAAUAACAAAGAGUUUCACGAGGUUAAAAAAAUAUACAGCGUUAUUCCUAAAUGCUAUAUGGAUACUUGCGGCUCUAUUUCUUUCUAGCUCACGUACGACACAUCAGCUUUCCGCGAUCACAAAGGAUUAGAAAUGGCUGGCAGGCAACCAGUGCAAAUGAGUAGUGCAAAGGAAAGACGUAGACGCGAAAAGUAGCUGCCCGUCAAAAAGAGUGGUACACGAGACGACUCUAGCUGGCGUUGGCGCUCGCGUCGCCACCCUUCAUAACAACCAAUUUUACGAGAACAGUCAGAUAUUUUAUUGUUAUACACACGUUUGAGUUUGCUAGGGGCUGGUGUGGUACAAGCAACGCAAGACGACAUUCUGGGAAGCAACGCAGUACUUUGAAAGGACGUAAGAAGGGUAUAUACGUAACAUAUACAUGACCAACGGCCGAUGUCCACAUCGCAUUCUGACACGUAACACGGUGUAAGAGUGACGCGGGCCUUCUUGUCAUCCAGAUCUUGCGUUGAUAGUGUUACCACGAUGUGUUGCCUGUUCGAGUGUGUCACGCGACUGAUCUUCGCCAUUCUGUGGCUGGCUUGCCUUAUUUUCGUCGCCUACCCUCUUGCGUUUCUGUGCGUCGAAGUGUACAUACUGAUGCAGCCGUUGAAAGCAUUUUGUGGUAUAUGCUGCGAAGGUUGUGUCGAUUUUUUGGAAAAGAUCGUUCUUCUGCCUAGAACAUGCACGAAGAACAUGAUGGCUGGAAAGAAUUGCUUUUUCGAUUAAACAACAUGACUCAAAAUAGGCUGGGUAGAACGUAAGCUCGGAAAAAAUGUGUGACCAUUUAUUUGUGUAUAUGUGUUUGCCACUAAAUUCUUAUUAUUAAAAACCUAUAUUUAUUACUACUACUACGAGGAAGAACACGAAUAAAUAUACUUAACUAUAUUCAAAGUUAAGCUGCUAUUCGUCUUUUAGUUAUAUUAGUAGUUUUAGACGGAAUACAUACAAUUAAGUUAAUUUUUUAUAGGCAGAGAUAGGCAAAUAAAACUCGAUAAAUCAAGAAUGUAUUUCUCUGCUAGCUAACGGAAUUAGCUUAACAGGCUCAACCAAUGCGCAUAGAAGGCUUCGCUGUUUUCGUGUGGAGAGGCUCGUUGACCUACUCACGCGUCCACUCCAAACACUUAAUGUGAUCUAUACCACACACAAUUGCUUAUACUAAAAGCACAUUUGUCAGUGGCGGACUUUUAGGCAUGUUGUAAUAAAACGAGUCCUUAUAAUUCAGCUAUUAUUAUUAUGAUUAGACAGUUACAUUCUCGCUGUUGUGCUAUAAUUAUUCAUUUUCUGCAUGAGUGUUAGAUUGCAUGUACGUAUUAAUUGAGUUCAUUUAUAAUAUAAUAAGGCUUUUUGAUUAUUUCGAAACACUUAUUAUACGUGCACAUGGCUUGCUUGGCUAGAUAAGCAUCACCACCUGGGUAAAUCACAUGGGUAAUGCAUAGCCGCUUAUUGACUAGAACAAUAUAUCGCAAAUGCGACGGCUGUUCAAUAUGACCCUGAUCACCGAGUGUCUUGGAGGGCUGCUAAGCGCGUAUUUCUUAUAUUUCCAACACACGUGAAACUGCUUUUGAUCCUUUAGCUAUUAUUACGUACUGUUUUCGAUAACUAGUUGGUUCUGCCCGAAACGGUGUGUGUCUACCCACGGACUCGAACGUCCCCCACCACCUAAAUUCAGCAAUCACUUGGAGUGAAUAAUAGCCUUAUUGCGAUUGGCACUGGGCAAAUGGGCUCCUAUCAUUUGUAGCCUCUGGUUGAAGUCCCAACAACGACACAACCUGCGUUUGCCCGAUGGAGACGGUGUCGAAGAAAAUUCUGGUUGGCAGGAAGCUUUGGGCGACAACAGGCGAUAGGCAAGCAAGGCGCAACAAGAACCGCAGCUCCCGGAAGAUAAACCUGAGCCGCCUCGCGAACUUCUGGCAGACGCUCUUCGAAAGGAUGCAUCCCACCCAGUUUUCAGCAAAGGAUUUAGUCCUACUCUGUGUUUAGAGCUUGGAGGAGCCGCGGACGGAGACAGUCUAUUAGAGCAAGCAGCGUUGACAACACGACCUGUAUGCUUCCUUAGCCGAUCACACGCCUUCAGAAUGAACGACCACUCGUCUCUGGCAGUUCUUUCUGACAGAAUCAACUGUUUCCUACCGCGACUCUUAAACAAGGUUGAUGUAUUGCUACUGAGUCCAGAUAGUAACGACCAGAACGCCAUUAUAUUACCAUUCAUCUCAAGGCUUCUUGCCCCGAAAGGACGAUACUACGUUCUUCUCUCAGCGGAAGAUAAGCCGGUCGAGCUUUGCCGGCAGAUGGGGAAAAAGGGUCUCGUAUCGCGGGAGGUGAUCUCCAAGCAAUGUGGUCACGGAGAGACGUUUUCGGUUUUCUGUUUCACACAUAAGAACAAGUGAUCGAUCACAAACGACAACCAGAAGUCCAGUGACCAAUGUUACCUAUACGGUAUCGCAACGCGUUAUUAUCAGCACGAGGAAAACUUUUUUUCAGCAGAGCAUCGUAAUGCACCUUACCGAACGACUCCACUCAUUUGACCGAGUCGAAUGAGUAAUAGUUUGUAAAAGUGGGACAGUUAUUACAUAUCAUUGCCCUGCUUCUAAUGAUAACUGUAAGGUCAGCGAUGGUGGCGGUCACAUUAACACACUACGAUCAAACGUUGCUUGUGUCAUUCCCAUAGGGGCUGCGUCAUACAUAGAAUGGAUCUGUGUGCGGGGGUCUUACGUAUACUAGACUGCUUGUAUUUUUGUCGGCCAUCAGGAUUUCAGAAAAGCAGAAAAGUGUGCAGUUGAAGUUUUCUUCGAGGGGCAUAUAGGUUAUCAUUGGUUACCAUUCAGAAGCAAUCACGCGUUGUAGAUGGGCUUACCUGCUCAUGUUAAUCAAUCAAGCAGAGCCUAUUUGACGACCAAGCCAGAUUGCUGUAACGAAAUGAAGAGUUCUACAGGUGAAGCUCGUCGAACUAGCGAAUGGCUAUAGAAAGUCCGUAUGUUACGAAAAUAUUGCUGUGCAUAAUGUAAUGCAUAUGCAAACUACGGCAGCCGAUGACGCAUACAGGUCUACGUCAACGUUCGAGCGGCACGCACGUCACGUGAUAGAUCAGCGCGGCUGGUACAUUAAUAGUAACUGUGUUUAAUAUCACCACAGUUGAAGAGUUUACAGCAUGCUAACUUUUGAUCUAUCGCCGCGGAGCAGCGAUGACGAAAUUAGCGACUGAAGUUGAGCUGAAAACCCAAAAAGUACAUCGCUGAAAACAGUUUCCUUUCUACGAAGACUUCCUUUACCAAAAGAGGGUAAAACAACACUGUAAUUAGGUUUGUGGCGCAGUCGAUGGAAAGCAACGAAGAGCAAAGAAAAACGACUGAGCGAACCGGAAUUUCGUAGCAGCACGGUUCAGAUCGAAAAGACAAACUAGCUCGAAUCGACGACUAAUAUUAUAUAAUAGCCACUUUUUGUGUGUGUAUGUCUACGCGUUUUUGGGUGUGCAUGUAUGUAUAGAUCAAUCUGUAUGUAAUUUGGAGAAAAACUAGCAAAUCAACAUCUGCACUUUGCUCGGUGUUGCGUCAGAUAACAAAACAAUUACAAACAUCUUGAAAUAACGAGCGGCAAGAAAAAACUUAAAAAGAAAAAUCUAAUGAACCCGGUAAUGAGUUGGGUCAGCUUGUUGGGUAGAUGAAAACUGAAACUAAUUACGACUUAUAUUUGCUAGACUAGAUCUACUGCAAUAUCUAACACAUAAAACGUGAAUAUGAGGUGAGGCAUUGAAUAGCGGUAAAUUACUAUUGUAUCUCUACUGUAGUUGACUAUAAAGAGUUUCGCAAGCGAAAAAGCGACGCGUUAAAAGAUACCGUUUACCUGAGUA